rnacentral:lncRNA from 1 species
AGGCGAGGGAGCGCGCGCGCGCUCCCGGAUAGUCCUCUGCAGCCACUCGCCCCGAGCCUUCUACCUGGCCAACACUGCUGCCUCGACCACCUCGCGUGCCCGGUUCGUGGGCUUUCAGCAGCUGAACACAGGUCAGUCAGAUCUACUCCCGUUCCCGCUGCACCCCCAUCUCUCCCCUCUGUGCUUGUGGAAUGAGCAGUGUGUCAGUGUCCCCCAAUAGCAGACCUGGCAAUGAGACUUCAUGUGCCAUAUAAAGGAAGUGUUCCAGGAGACAAAAUUAAGGGAGUAGAGAUAAGACACGGGUGGGUGAGGGGGCAGAGCACUGGAGCUGGGCUGUCCCCCUCACCCCCACUCCUCAACGUCAGGCUGCAGGGUUCUGCAGGGGACACAGACACCCGGGCAUGUGUGCUGAAGCCAUGGCAGGAAGCAACAAUGAGGACCUGGGUGGGGUGUCAGCGCUGUGUCUGUCAGUACAACUGUCUGUCUGUUUUAGGCAGACUUUCUACUGCUGUGAUGAAAAGCCACUUGGGUAGGAAAGAGGUUAUUUCACAUUACAGCUCUAAGUCCAUCACUGUGGGAAAACCAGGGCAGAAACCUAGAGCAGAAGCCACAGAAACGCUACCUGCUGGCCUGUUCCUCAUGGCUUGCCCAUCCUGUUUUCUUAUGCCAUCUAGGACCACUUACCCAUGGGUGCCACUGCCCACAGUGAGAUGGACCCUCCCACAUCAAUUAUCAGUCAAGAAAAUGCCCCACGGGCCAGUUCUGUGGAGGGACAUUUUUGCAGUUGAUGGUCUCUUGCCAACUGAUUCUAGCUGUGUUGAGAUGACAUAAAAAGUAGACAGCACACCAGACAGACAGACAGACACUAAAGCCAAGGCAGCCUUCAGGCCUGCUGUCACCUCAUCCUGACCUUCCUAGGACCAGAGGGGAUGUUGCCCUCAGGAAAGCCAAGAGGAGCCUGCCUCUACUGAAAUAUAAAAAGUGCACUUUGCAUAUCAAAAGCGUUAUUGUGUUCCACUCUGCAUCUCCAGAUUCUUCUUGCAAAACAUUGAAGCUUAGCUCAUAAUUUGGUGAUAAAAAUAUUGAUUAUUUAUCCACAGCCACAUGCAGAGGUCCAAAGCACGUGAACGGGACACCCACCCUGCAUUAUCUUAUGUUUUAAGGCAAUAUGAAGAUGGACAUUCUACCCCUGAGACAAAUUUCGAUCAAAUACUUUGGUCAAUAAAAAGAUACCAAUG